GUUUACCGCACCCGCUGGGGGACUGCUCCUGCCGCUGGGCCUUCCGCAGGGGCCGAGUUCUCCCAGUCAAAUCCCCGUUGCCCAGAACCUGUCCAGCGCCGCUCCCGCUGUGCGGGGUCGGUGGAUGAGGCCCGAGAGGACGGGGUCCCGGUGCUCCCAGGUCCGUGUGAGGCCCGUCCCUGCCGAGCGCGGCAGCGCGCUGCUGCCAGGAGCCCCAUCCUGGGCCGGGAGCGGGAAAGAGGUGAGGGCUUGGCAUGCCAGACCCGUAAAGGGCGCAUGGAAUCGCGGCAGGAGCCCGGCAGCUGCGGCGGAGCCCAGUAGGGUGGACGUGCUGCUGGGCCACACAGAUGUGGAACAGCCAGCCCUUUUGCAAGGCUCGCCCUUGGAAAGGCAAAUGGGCAUUGCAGCCAGCACCACGCAAACCUUGAUGAGAACGUGCUGACAGGAGUGAGAAGAGUAUAAAAACAAUAAACAUCGCUGCUGUUGGAAACGCUUUUAUUUUUGAGAAGAGUGUUUCCCAAAGGUGUUCAAAGCCUGCAUUCCCUUGUCCCCUUUUUGAGCAGCAUGCUCCAGCUUGAAUCCCUGUCUCAAGUAUGCAGUGCCCUGACCUCUUUCAUGCUUUCUCCUGGGCUCUGGGAUUAGCAGUAUCUCACAGAAUUAGAAAUAAGAUGGAGAAGGCACCUCGUGACUGGCCAGGACCAGGUUGAUACGGUACCAGAGAAAAGAUCAUCAACAGGUUCUUCUGCAGCAGUUCUAGUGCCUUCCAUUUACUCCAAGAUCUAAUAAAUUUCACUCACGUUCCCAUGGAAUAUUGCUGGAACACUUGUGAAGAGAGCUAAAAUAAAGCAAAGCCAGCAGUAUCUGGUAGAACAAAGCUCACCAGAAUUUGCUAGCUGUGUCAGGAAGCAAGAUGGAUGAUGCUGAAACAGGCAUGCUUUGCCCUGGGAUGCAUGAAGGCAGUUGGCUACCCAGUCUGCUGGGAACACUGGCUAAACACAGGUCCUCCCAGGCUAGAAAAAAACUGUCACCAGAGCUGGUUACAGCUCACGCCUGCAAAUGCAAAAGAGUUGUAUGGAGACAACAGCACACAGGAAGACUUGCUAGGCCAUGGAUUAAGAUGCCAAGUUUCAGAGAAGAUGGUUUGCACGAGGAAAUCUCAGAUCUCAAAAGCAGAGAUUGGGUGCUCUUCUAAGGACAACAGGUGGAGGGAUGAGAUUUGGGGAAAAAACCUAAACCCCCAAAACCUACUGUAGGAAAGGUUCCACCUCUGUGAAAACAGGAAGGAAGGAGGGUAAGGAAAGAAGUAUGAAGUAUAUCUAGUUUCAGAACUUUGCUGAAGAAAAAGAAGCACUCCUAAAAAUCACUCCUACAGGUGAAAUCAUAGGCGGUCUUAAAGGAUGGAAAGAUUUGUAGUGCGACCUGCAACUGUCGGAAAGCACGUGUGGUGAGAGGGUGUUAAUAAGCAGAUAUAAGGCAAGGUGGAGAUUUGGAAGUGUCCAGCUAGAGCUAUGGGUGAUGUUCAGGCAGGCAGUUCUUGAAAUGUCCUGAACUCCAUGGAGCAUGUUUAAAUCCAUGAGUCAGUGUGGUAUGUGCUACAGCUACUCAGCCCUGACCAGGAAGCUCUGAACUAUUUUUCUCCAUCUCCUAUAGACAGCUGGUGAUGAGGUAAACACGGUUAGUUCUCUCUGAUGAAACUUAAGCUCUUGGUGUACAGGUGCUUGGUAUGCAAUACCUGUCCCUCAAACAGCUGGGUGCAAACGUGGGGAAGGCUUUUCCUGCAGGUUCUCAGGUACCAAGCUCAGCUGAUGUUCCUGUACCGCAGCUGUAAAUGAAGCCUCUUCUGGCACUCCCAGGGCGAUUUGGGAGUUUGCUGGGCAUGUCCUGCCCCUGGCACCACUCCGACAUUCACAGCAUUGAUCUCCAACAUACCACCUCUCCAAGUGCUUAAAGCAUGGCAGCUCACAGGGUGUUCAGAGGCCUCUUUGAUGCAUUCAUUUAGCUACAUGUGCCACUAAAGUUCUGUGCCACCAACCAGGAAUCCACCCUCCCUGCCGUGGUCUUCCCCGCACAGACCAGCCUUGCUGGUGGUUUGGGCCUGCUCCUCCCUUCCCCAGCACUCCCCACCGAGCUCCUUGCUCUGACAGAUUCUCCCUUGGCAACAAUCGCUUCUGCUGGGCUGCUCCCAGGCUGUGGUCAUGGCUGCGGGCGUGUGAAGUGUUCUGCCCACCUGAGUCAGGAACGCCCGGCAGCUCCACUCUCAGUGUAACAAAGAGUGAGUCACCAUCGGCUGAACUGUACC